UCUAACAAUUCCAAGAGCGGGACCUGUUUUCACAAUCUCUCCAAAUUGUUUUUCAUUUCCCUCCUUAAUAUUAAUUAACUAUUUUUUUUAUCUUUUAUUCAUCAAUAUCCUAGAGGAAUGACAAAUGAAAAUCAACCGAAACCCUAACACUCUACAUUCAUUUCUAUUUACUGCUGGAUCGGUUACUCUGCGACAAGGUGGGUGUGGCCCCUAUUGAGGAAAAGAUGCAGGAAGCGUGGCUUAGGUGACUUGGUCAUGUGAGGAGGAGUAGCUCUCAUGAGAGUUAACGACGAAAGAUAGUAAGACAAUUAUUGUUGUGAUUGGUGAUAUACUGUUUUAUUUCCCUUCAUGCACAGAUAGAUCAGAAACUAUCACAAGAUACUAGACAAGCUAUUUGUAAUGUAGUGCAAAAGCUAAAUACUAAUCUUCUUGUACUAAAUUUUCAUGAAACCUGAAAGCUUAAAAGAUUUGUUUCCUAUCCAUGAUGUUACUGUUGCUGCAAUUGUUGGAUAAGUUUCUGCUGCUGAGAUUACUUAGUUCAUCUUCAAUGGAAUUAGUUUUAUUGUUAAUUAGUCUUCUCAUUCUCUUCAAGAUUCUUAUGUCUAUAUUAUUAAGAUGAUGUUCCAUAGAGAAAAAUUAGUUUGUAACAUCUAACUUGAUUAUCGGCACAGAGUUUGGGGAGAUUUUCUUAAGCUUACAUUGGAGGUAGGCUUAUACAUUAAAAUAUUUAACAUACUUAUCUGGUGCACUUGUCUCCUAAAGUGUUGAUUUUUAUAAUAGGUUCUCGAUGCAAAUAGCUGCCAGGAACGAGCUACAUAAACGUCAUGAAUGCCAUUUCAAAGUAAUGAUUUACAGGUUGAUGAUUCAGAGCACUAGGAUUCUUGUACCAGCUAUUUGGUGAUCCCUAGUUUUUUCGGGGCAUUAUCAUUACUACAGUCUUUAGUAUUUUUAGACAGUCAAUGUUUUCAUUACUUCAUUAGAGACUUCAUAGACUAGAGUAACAGUUAGACAGAGUCAUAGGCUUUUCAUAUUAAGCUAUGUUGGCUACAAAUAUGUUU